rnacentral:rRNA from 1 species
UACGUAGGGUGCAAGCGUUGUCCGGAAUUAUUGGGCGUAAAGAGCUCGUAGGCGGUCUGUCACGUCGGCUGUGAAAACCCGAGGCUCAACCUCGGGCCUGCAGUCGAUACGGGCAAACUAGAGUACUGCAGGGGAGACUGGAAUUCCUGGUGUAGCGGUGAAGUGCGCAGAUAUCAGGAGGAACACCGGUGGCGAAGGCGGGUCUCUGGGCAGUAACUGA